GGAAUAUUGGGCAAUGGACGCAAGUCUGACCCAGCCAUGCCGCGUGCAGGAUGAAGGCCUUCUGGGUUGUAAACUGCUUUUAUCUGGGAAGAAAACACCUCUGCGGAGGAAACUGCCGGUACCAGAUGACUAAGCACCGGCUACCUCCGUGCCAGCAGCCGCGGUAAUACGGAGGGUGCAAGCGUUGUCCGGAUUUAUUGGGUUGAAAGGGUGCGUAGGCGGCCCGGUAAGUCAGUGGUGAAAGCCUCCAGCUCAACUGGAGAACUGCCAUUGAUACUGCCGGGCUUGAGUACAGACGAGGUUGGCGGAAUUGAUUGUGUAGCGGUGAAAUGCAUAGAUACAAUCAAGAACUCCGAUUGCGUAGGCAGCUAACUAGGCUGUAACUGACGCUGAGGCACGAAAGCGUGGGGAGCGAA
rnacentral:rRNA from 1 species